GGAGCAGUGGGCGAUAGGGUAAGUCACUGAAAUAUAUUUCGGGAAAUGCCGGUUCAAAUCCGGCCUGCUCCG
rnacentral:tRNA from 1 species